rnacentral:rRNA from 1 species
GAUGAACGCUGGCUACAGGCUUAACACAUGCAAGUCGAGGGGAAACGACGGGGAAUCGUGCUUCCCCGGGCGGCGACCGGCGCACGGGUGAGGAACGCGUAUCCAACCUGCCUCUGGCAUAGGUAUAACCCACCGAAAGUCGUCCCAAUACCGCAUGGUAGCUUCUGCGGGCGUCUAACGACGAUUCAAGAUUUCAGCGUGCAGGGGUGGGGUUGCGUCUGAUUAGCUGGUUGGCGGGGUAACGGCCCACCAAGGCGACGCUCACGAGGGAUUCUGAGGGGAAGGGCCCCCAGAUUGGAACUGGGAACCGUGCCACACUGCUACGGGCGGCAGCCGUGCGGGAUAUUGGUCAAUGGACGAGAGCCUGAACCAGCCAAGUAGCGUGCAGGAAGGCGGCCCUCUGGGUUGUAACCUGCUUUUAUGCGGGGAUAAAGUGAGGGACGGGUCCCUCAUUGCCGGUACCGCAUGAAUAAGGACCGGCUAAUUCCGUG